rnacentral:rRNA from 1 species
UACGAAGGGUGCAAGCGUUGUUCGGAUUUAUUGGGCGUAAAGCGCGCGCAGGCGGAUUGGCAAGUCAUGUGUGAAAUCUCGGGGCUUAACCUCGAAAUUGCGCCUGAAACUACCAGUCUUGAAUACUGGAGAGGGAAGGGGAAUUUCUCAUGUAGGGGUAAAAUCCGUAGAUAUGAGAAGGAACACCAGAGGCGAAGGCGCCUUCCUGGACAGUCAUUGACGCUGAGGUGCGAAAGCGUGGGGAGCAAACAGG